AUUGAACGCUGGCGGCAUGCUUUACACAUGCAAGUCGAACGGUAACAGGCCGCAAGGUGCUGACGAGUGGCGAACGGGUGAGUAAUGCAUCGGAACGUGCCCAGUCGUGGGGGAUAACGCAGCGAAAGCUGCGCUAAUACCGCAUACGAUCUAUGGAUGAAAGCGGGGGACCGUAAGGCCUCGCGCGAUUGGAGCGGCCGAUGUCAGAUUAGGUAGUUGGUGGGGUAAAGGCUCACCAAGCCGACGAUCUGUAGCUGGUCUGAGAGGACGACCAGCCACACUGGGACUGAGACACGGCCCAGACUCCUACGGGAGGCAGCAGUGGGGAAUUUUGGACAAUGGGGGCAACCCUGAUCCAGUAAUGCCGCGUGCAGGAAGAAGGCCUUCGGGUUGUAAACUGCUUUUGUACGGAACGAAACGGUCCUGGUUAAUACCUGGGGCUAAUGACGGUACCGUAAGAAUAAGCACCGGCUAACUACGUGCCAGCCGCCGCAGUAACAC
rnacentral:rRNA from 1 species